AUUGAACGCUGGCGGCAGGCCUAACACAUGCAAGUCGAGCGAGCGGCGGACGGGUGAGUAAUGUAUGGGGGCUGCCCUAUAGAGGGGGAUAACUACUGGAAACGGUGGCUAAUACCGCAUACUAUCGGAUAACCCAUAUGGGAUUAGCUAGUAGGUGGGGUAAAGGCUCACUUAGGCGACGAUCUCUAGCUGGUCUGAGAGGAUGAUGAGCCAGACUGGGAUGGAGACACGGCCGAGAUGCCUACGGAGGCAGCAGUGGGGAAUAUGGCAAAAUGGGCGCAAGCCUGAUGCAGACAGGCCGCGUGUAUGAAGAAGGCCUUAGGGUUGUAAAGUACUUUCAGCGGGGAUGCGUUACCCGCAGAAGAAGCACCGGCUAACUCCGUGCCAGCAGCCGCGGUAAUUC
rnacentral:rRNA from 1 species